CGUCGUAGCGCACCGGCGACAGCCACGGCAGCACGCGCUUCAGGACCACGUUCGCGAGCGGCGAGACAUGACGCACAUACAGAUCGAUCGGAUCGAGCUGGUGCCGCAGGUGGAGUUUNGGCCGCUGCUGCGAAACCAUUUGUAGCCGCCCGCAAUGGCCCAGUUGAUCGUGUCACGAACCACGCAGAAAUACAGAUGCAGAUUGAGCGCAACGGAAUAGUCGAAGCCGACAUACUCCGAGAAGAAAUGUUCGCCCUGGACCAUGCAGAUGUUGAAGGCCACCAGCGUAUUGCCGCGGUGCCAUGUGAAGACACGGACCUUGUCCUUCAUCCGUG
rnacentral:misc_RNA from 1 species